GACGAACGCUGGCGGCGUGCUUAACACAUGCAAGUCGAACGGAAAGGCCCUGCUUGGGUGGUGUUCUCGAGGGGCAAAGGGGUGAGUAACACGUGAAUAACCUGCCCUAGACUUUGGGAUAACUUCAGGAAACUGGGGCUAAUACCGGAGAGGAUCCUCCGCUGCGUGGGGGGGUGGGGAAAGUUGCGGCGGUUGGGGAUGGACGCGCGGCUUAUCAGCUUGUUGGUGGGGUAGGGGCUUACCAAGGCUUGGACGGGUAGCCGGCUUGAGAGGGGGACCGGCCACAUUGGGACUGAGUUAGGGCCCAGAUCCCUAGGGGGGGCAGAGGGGGGGAAAAUGGAACAAUGGGCGGAAGCCGGUGCAAGCAAGGCCGGGGGCGGGAUGCGGGCUUUGGGUUGGAAAACCGCUUUCGCCUUUGACGAAGCGUGAGUGACGGUAAUGGGUAAAGAAGCACCGGCUAACUACGUG
rnacentral:rRNA from 1 species